UACGGAGGGGGCGAGCGUUGUCCGAAGUUACUGGGCGUAAAGGGCGCGUAGGCGGGAAGCUAAGUCCGCUGUCAAAAGCCCCGGGGGCUCAACCCCGGAAGGUCGGUGGAGACUGGUUUUCUUGAAGCUGCCCAGGGGGGAGAUGGAAUUACCGGUGUAGCGGUGAAAUGCGUAGAUAUCGGUAGGAACACCAGUGGCGAAGGCGGUCUCCUGGAGCAGACUUGACGCUGAGGCGCGAAAGCUGGGGAGCGAACGGG
rnacentral:rRNA from 1 species